rfam:Rhodoluna lacicola strain MWH-Ta8 chromosome, complete genome.
GGGGAUGAUCGGUUUCGACAGUGCAUGUGUAACUGGAUGAAGCGGGUCGAGAAUGUAGCGUCAACUCGUAAAUGUCCGCUGCAAACUAUAAGUGCUAAAUCAUCACGCACUGACUUUGCCCUAGCUGCUUAAUAGCACCUAGCCUCGAAGUCCGUUAGACCAGAUUUGAUUUCGUUCUGGGUUCUAGCGUCAUUUAGAAAUCUUGCUUUGUAGUUAUGCCUUAGGGCUACAAGGGACUCAAACUAAGACUGGGCCCGUCGGUUAUGUUGCUUCAAGCUAGUACCGGGGCCGAGUAGAACCUUAUUGAAGCUACACCCGUAGAAGAGUCAGAAACUCUGUAUUGGACGGGGGUUCAAUUCCCCCCAUCUCCACUC